UACGUAGGGUGCAAGCGUUACUCGGAAUUACUGGGCGUAAAGCGUGCGUAGGUGGUUGUUUAAGUCUGCUGUGAAAGCCCUGGGCUCAACCUGGGAAUUGCAGUGGAUACUGGGCGACUAGAGUGUGGUAGAGGACAGUGGAAUUUCCGGUGUAGCAGUGAAAUGCGUAGAGAUGGGGAGGAACAUCUGUGGCGAAGGCGACUGUCUGGACCAGCACUGACGCUGAGGCACGAAAGCGUGGGGAGCAAACAGG
rnacentral:rRNA from 1 species